CUAAAAAGAGAAACAGUUGUGAAAUAAAGGAAGAAUUCACUCUUUGGAGAACAUUGCCUUAUCCAUUUACCUAAAUAUUGGUUUUGUAGAAAAAGAAAAAGGAAAUCUAUGAAUUGGGAAGCAUCUUCUGAGAGUCUGAGAAAGCGACUGUCUGUCACCACUUCCCCAGAGAAGAUGUCACCCACCAUCUCUUGAUAUUGUACAUCUGUGUAGCCAGGAGCACUGUCCUGUUCCUAGUUCUUAACACAGGGCCGAGUAGAGGAAACUGUAAGAAAAAAAUCUUCAAGCCUGGAGUGGGCUCCCACAGGAUUCGAGCUCUGUACCCAGACAUGGGCACAUUACUGAGCUUUAGAGAAAAUUGCCUUCAAGCCCUGCAGCGGGAGUCAGCUCUGACUGGCUUAAACCUGUCAGCAUCUUUUAACACUCCUACCAUAGUCAUUGGUGACAGUGUGGGUGUGAGAGACACAGAGGGGCAGCAGAGGUGAAUCUCAAGACUCAUGAUUGCCAAGCAGAAAGGAAUGUCCUAUUGGUGCCCUGGGCAUGAACAAGAAUGCAUGAACAAAACACCAACAUGAAUCAGCAGCUGCAGUCCAGUCUGUUCGGUAAUCACCAUUCACGAAUCAGCAAAGGCAGUUCGAUCCAGAAGAAACUGUGAGGCUCUACCAACUGGCCCAGGUGCAUGGAAGCAGCAAGAAGCUACCAGACUAUCCCAAGAAGUUCUUUGAUUACAGAAUCAUGAAUGAGCUGCUCCAUGCAAUGUUCUGUGCCUAAUUCAGGGCACUGUGAAUAACAGGCUGCUCUGACUUAUAGCAGCAUCUACUGAUGCUCCCAAAAUCUAGAAGGACAUGGGAGUCACAGCAUCUUGCACAUGAGCAAACUGGGGCUUCUGAGGCAAGAACUGAUAAGCAGCUCUAUCUAUCCUGGUGCCUGGACAAGCAUUGCCAAUCCCAACAGAGGAGGAACCUGCUGGCAUCUGGCAAGAGUCUUCACAGGACCUAGAAUCACCUAGGAGACAAACCUCAAGACACAACUGUGGUGGAGUUUCUGAGAUCAAGUUAUUAAGACCCAUACUGCCUGAAGCAUCAUCCCAUAACCUGGGAUCCAGGACUGAAUGGAAAGAAGAGAGUAAGCUAAGUACCAGCAUCCAUCUCUCUUUCUUCCUGGAUGUAGAUCCAAGGUGACCAGCUGCCUCCGGCUCCUGCCACCAUGAUUUCUCCUCCAUGAUGGGCUGCACCCUCAAACCAUGAGCCAAAAUAAACUC